rnacentral:rRNA from 1 species
CACGUAGGGGCAAGCGUUGUCCGGAAUUACUGGGCGUAAAGGGCGUGUAGGCGGCCAUGUAUGUCAGGUGUGAAAGGCCUCGGCUUAACCGAGGCAUUGCACAUGAAACUGUAUGGCUUGAGUGCAGGAGAGGGGAGUGGAAUUCCUAGUGUAGCGGUGAAAUGCGUAGAUAUUAGGAGGAACACCAGUGGCGAAGGCGACUUCCUGGACUGUAACUGACGCUGAGGCGCGAAAGCGUGGGUAGCAAACAGGAUUAGAUA